AUACGUAGGGAGCGAGCGUUGUCCGGAAUUACUGGGUGUAAAGGGAGCGUAGGCGGGAGUGCAAGUCAGAUGUGAAAUACAUGGGCUCAACCCAUGGGCUGCAUUUGAAACUGCAUUUCUUGAGUGAAGUAGAGGUAAGCGGAAUUCCUGGUGUAGCGGUGAAAUGCGUAGAUAUCAGGAGGAACACCGGUGGCGAAGGCGGCUUACUGGGCUUUUACUGACGCUGAGGCUCGAAAGCGUGGGGAGCAAACAGGAUUAGAUACCCUGGUGGUCCACGCUGUAAACGAUGAUUACUAGGUGUGGGGGGACUGACCCCUUCCGUGCCGCAGUUAACACAAUAAGUAAUCCACCUGGGGAGUACGGCCGCAAGGUUGAAACUCAAAUGAAUUGACGGGG
rnacentral:rRNA from 1 species